GUGCUCACUUAGGCAGCACAUAUACUAAAAAAAAUGGAACAAUACAGAGAAGAUUAGGCCCCUGUGCAAGGAUGACACGCAAAUUCGUGAAGUGUUCCUUCUAAAA
ensembl:snRNA LOC120099410 U6 spliceosomal RNA